rnacentral:rRNA from 1 species
GAUGAACGCUGGCGGCGUGCCUAAUACAUGCAAGUCGAGCGAACAGACGAGGAGCUUGCUCCUCUGACGUUAGCGGCGGACGGGUGAGUAACACGUGUAUAACCUACCUAUAAGACUGGGAUAACUUCGGGAAACCGGAGCUAAUACCGGAUAAUAUAUUGAACCGCAUGGUUCAAUAGUGAAAGACGGUUUUGCUGUCACUUAUAGAUGGUUCCGCGCCGCAUUAGCUAGUUGGUAAGGUAACGGCUUACCAAGGCAACGAUGCGUAACCGACCUGAGAGGGUGAUCGGCCACACUGGAGCUGAGACACGGUCCAGACUCCUACGGGAGGCAGCAGUAGGGAAUCUUCCGCAAUGGGCGAAAGCCUGACGGAGCAACGCCGCGUGAGUGAUGAAGGUCUUCGGAUCGUAAAACUCUGUUAUUAGGGAAGAACAAAUGUGUAAGUAACUAUGCACGUCUUGACGGUACCUAAUCAGAAAGCCACGGCUAACUACGUG